GCGACCCCAGGUCAGGCGGGGCUACCCGCUGAAUUUAAGCAUAUAAAUAAGCGG
rnacentral:rRNA from 1 species